UUGCUCCCGGCUCACCAGCGGCGGACGGGUGAGUAAUGCAUAGGAAUCUGCCCGGUAGUGGGGGAUAACCUGGGGAAACCCAGGCUAAUACCGCAUACGUCCUACGGGAGAAAGGGGGCUCCGGCUCCCGCUAUUGGAUGAGCCUAUGUCGGAUUAGCUAGUUGGUGAGGUAAUGGCUCACCAAGGCGACGAUCCGUAGCUGGUCUGAGAGGAUGAUCAGCCACAUCGGGACUGAGACACGGCCCGAACUCCUACGGGAGGCAGCAGUGGGGAAUAUUGGACAAUGGGCGAAAGCCUGAUCCAGCCAUGCCGCGUGUGUGAAGAAGGCCCUCGGGUUGUAAAGCACUUUCAGCGAGGAAGAACGCCUAGUGGUUAAUACCCACUAGGAAAGACAUCACUCGCAGAAGAAGCACCGGCUAACUCCGUGCCAGCAGCCGCGGUAAUACGGAGGGUGCAAGCGUUAAUCGGAAUUACUGGGCGUAAAGCGCGCGUAGGUGGCUUGAUAAGCCGGUUGUGAAAGCCCCGGGCUCAACCUGGGAACGGCAUCCGGAACUGUCAAGCUAGAGUGCAGGAGAGGAAGGUAGAAUUCCCGGUGUAGCGGUGAAAUGCGUAGAGAUCGGGAGGAAUACCAGUGGCGAAGGCGGCCUUCUGGACUGACACUGACACUGAGGUGCGAAAGCGUGGGUAGCAAACAGGAUUAGAUACCCUGGUAGUCCACGCCGUAAACGAUGUCGACCAGCCGUUGGGUGCCUAGCGCACUUUGUGGCGAAGUUAACGCGAUAAGUCGACCGCCUGGGGAGUACGGCCGCAAGGUUAAAACUCAAAUGAAUUGACGGGGGCCCGCACAAGCGGUGGAGCAUGUGGUUUAAUUCGAUGCAACGCGAAGAACCUUACCUACUCUUGACAUCCUGCGAACUUGUGAGAGAUCACUUGGUGCCUUCGGGAACGCAGAGACAGGUGCUGCAUGGCUGUCGUCAGCUCUUGUUGUGAAAUGUUGGGUUAAGUCCCGUAACGAGCGCAACCCUUGUCCUUAUUUGCCA
rnacentral:rRNA from 1 species